rnacentral:rRNA from 1 species
CAGCCGCCGCGGUAAUACCGGCGGCCCGAGUGGCGGUCACUAUUAUUGGGCUUAAAGCGUCCGUAGCCGGGUUGGGAAGUCCUCCGGGAAAUCUGGCCGCUUAACGGUCAGAAUGCCGGAGGAUACUCCCAGCCUAGGGAGCGGGAGAGGCCGAGGGGAUUCCCGGGGUAGGGGUGAAAUCCUAUAAUCCCGGGAGGACCACCGGUGGCGAAGGCGCUCGGCUGGAACGCGUCCGACGGUGAGGGACGAAGGCCAGGGGAGCAAACCGGAUUAGAUACCCGGGUAGUCCUGGCGGUAAACGAUGCGGACUUUGUGUCGGACAAGCUAUGAGCUUGUCCGGUGCCGGAGGGAAACCGUUAAGUCCGCCGCCUGGGGAGUACGGCCGCAAGGCUGAAACUUAAAGGAAUUGGCGGG